UACGUAGGGCGCAAGCGUUGUCCGGAAUUAUUGGGCGUAAAGAGCUCGUAGGCGGCCAGUUGCGUCUGCUGUGAAAUCCCGGGGCUCAACCCCGGGCGUGCAGUGGAUACGGGCUGGCUAGAGGCAGGCAGGGGAGAACGGAAUUCCCGGUGUAGCGGUAGAAAUGCGCAGAUAGUCGGGAGGAACACCGGUGGCGAAGGCGGUUCUCUGGGCCUGUACUGACGCUGAGGAGCGAAAGCGUGGGGAGCGAACGGGG
rnacentral:rRNA from 1 species